CUCAAAAUGCUAUGAAUUUUUAACAGAGAACAGUUCAAGGGAAAGCAGUUGAUUUUCAAAUGAUAUUUCCGUUAAGUCAGAAAGUAAGAGUAGGAAUGGACACGGAUAUUUGUAUUUAUCUGGUCAAAUGUAGACAUCUCUCUUGUAGACCUUUGCCUCAGAGUUAGCUUUCCUCUAAGUUUUUUCGCAUGGUAGAGAGAGAGAGAUAGGUACCCCAGGGAAACAGUUCCCACUUCGACUAAGGUGGACUGUGCCCUGAAUGUGUUUAAUCUUUUUCCAGUGCUUACAGAAGACUUAGCUGAUCAGCAUAAAUUUAAGUGUUUGCACUGUAGAUGCCUAAAGACAGGUAAGAGGAUUCCCACCGGAAGUAUUUGUUGCAUCAUUGGAGCCAUAGAGAGAGAAGGUUGUCAUGGCAGUUACAACUAGGUUAGUUAAAAUGAUAAAGAACAAGCCAAUGCCAAAAUUAAUGAAAAACAUAGAUAGGAAACAAGACAGGUCUUUGAGAUGGGUUGAAGCAAGCUCACAGUAGAUUGAAAAACACAGUUCUGCUUUGAGUCUGUGGAUGGAAAUCAUAGUAAUUAACAGGAACUAGGAUAUUGCAUUUCUUUUGUGUGUAUACUUAACAUGGAGAAGCUUUUUGCAUGUGUUGGAGUGUUACUCUUUGGAGAAAGAAUAAGGAAGUAGCUUACGUUAGUCAAAGAGAGAGGAAGACUUGGAGAGAAGCCUCAGAGAAAAUAGAGUCAGGCCCACAGAGCUGUGUGUCAACAACUGUUAAGUGAAAACCAGGACAGGGAAAGAAAAGUUUAUUCACAUAAUCUCAGUCCUGUGGCAGACCACCAGGCAGUAUCAAGUGGCAGAGUUCCCUUAGUCUGUGUGCUGGGGUUGACAACUAACAACAAAUCUCCUGUGAUGCACAAUUAAGCAAAAAACAUUUGGUAGUCUAACUCGUUCAUUGUAGGGUGUGAAUUUUAGGCUGGUUUGCUAAAUAUAUGAUACUUCUGGAAUUGCACACAGUCUGUCCCACUGCAGUAAUUUUGAACCUCAUGGGCCAAUUUCAAUUACAUUUACAAAAAAGUGGAGGUCUUAAUGUUAUCUGAGUUCCUUUUAGUUUUGUAGUAAGUAGCAUGGUAGAAUACAUGGGUUCAGUUGGUGCCCCUGCUGUGACCAAGGCAGGCAGAACUUAGCUGUUAAAGACUUUUCCUGCAAAAAGCUGCCCAGUCUGCAUGCAUAAAAUGACCUACAGCUUCAGGCUUAAGUGCUACUUGCAGCACUGAGUUCUGUGCACAGUUGCAGAGCCAUGUCUGACCCCUGGGCAGCUGUUUUAUGGAGGUGAUGAGGGCCAAGUGGAAGUGGAUACCAAACCAUAGGAUACUAGGCUUUGAUAGUUUAAACCAAACAGUUGCAUCAGUUCAGCCUGUUAACUCAGGCACAGCCAUUAAUUUUAAGUCAUGCUGGUAGAUAUUAUUCUCCUUCCCCUGUAGAUAUUUUUCUGACUUAACAGCGACAGUUUCAAAUAGGAGAGCUGUUGGGCACCUUUUUGCACACACUCUGUAGAUGCCCAAACCACUAGAAUAAACAAAGCACAGUCUAAUACAUAUUAAUGGCUUGCCCAGCAUUUUUGAUUUCUUAGGCUUGUUAGUUCCAGUUCUGCAGUGUGAGAUAUUAGAAGAUGAAUUGGCUUUAACAAUCUGCUCCUGUAAACACAUUCAUCCAGAACAGAAGAUAACUACAUUUAAAGAGCAUUCUUUAAGGUAAUCCUUUCCAGGACUGUCUCAGAUAGUCCUUUGAAUAGUGCUGAGAUCAGUGGCAAUGAAGGUGAUUAUGCUGGAGAAAGAUGCACUGAAACUGGUGUUCUGGUGUGCACCUAAGUAACAAGAUUCUGCAGGGCAGGAGUCAGCCCACCAGAGGCCAUGCAUCUGUAUUGGAAGAACAACUUUUGUCAUUUAUUGAUAACUUCUUAAACACCCAUCACUGAAUGUGUAAAAAGUACUGAGUAGGUAGGAGCAAUGUAGUAAAUGGCAAGAAGUAAUGACAGAUGGAAAAAGUUUAGCUGAAGUUCCUAAUUGAAAACUUUAAAGAAAUGUCUAAGGAGAUGAAGAAAGUCAAAUAAGAUAUGCUGGUGAUCAUUGUGAAGAAUCGCUUUUCCCUUUCUGGUCCCCUAAUGCUAUUACUAUAGGGAACAUGCAGUGGUUUCCAUGUGAACAACUUAAUCUGGUUCAUAUUAUGAGAGUAAAAUUAGUAAUCUUUUUUUAACUUCAGAAUUUGGGCUGUAUUUGGAUAAUGUGCAUUUUGUUAAUGUUGUUCAUUUAUCUAAUAAAUGAGAAACAUGAUUUUGUAUUGGUAUCACAACUUUGAUUAAACAUAUUUUAAGCAUAUUUUAAGUUAUUAUAAUAUGCCAUUAACAUUCUCGAGAGGAAUAUUCACUGCCUACGUUUAAACAUCUAACUUAGAUGCCUAAAUUAGGAGGCUUGUCUCCCUAGAUGCCUUGCAUAGUUGAAGGAGUGAGAGAGGCUCCUCCAGAGAGCAAUUCAGACUACGUUAGUUAGGCCUCUGCUCUGAAUUAUCAUCUGGAGGAGCCUCUUCGACUCUGAAUGCUGUUCUGUGCUAUUCUUUGCAUCUUUUCCUUGCCAACAGAACUGCCUUCGCUGAUCUCCACCCCUCAACACUUGUUCUUGUAUAUCCCUCUGUCACUUGGGCUAGUACAGCUGUUGAUGUGGUGGCACUGUCAACCUGGUUGGUGAAAUCAUCAGGGUUAAAAGGAUUCCUGGGAAAGAAGGUGUUUUAACCUAGAUCAUGUCUCUGAUUCGGUUUAUCGCGUGACCUUGUAAACAGCUAAACCUGCACACCCGAGGAAGUGAUGAGCUUUAGCAAGAGACAGAAAUGAGUUGUUAAACUUGGGGGCCUGUUUGCCAAGUAUACCACCAAGAAAAAAUUAUAUCGAGCUUCUGGAUGUAAGCUCAGAAGAUUGAGUCUUAUAUCUAAGCAUUGUUCUGUUCAAGUACAUUAUAUUCCUACCGUUACCAUUGCAUUCAUUCAUACAAUUACAGUUACACAAAUAUCAUGGAGGUUUAUUAUGGUUUGUGUCACUGCAAGAAAGAGAGAAUCUCACAGAAUCACAGAAUGUCAGGGAUUGGAAGGGACCUUGAAAGAUCAUCUAAUCCAAUCCCCCUGCUGGAGCAGGAACACCCAGAUGAGGUUACACAGAAAGGCGUCCAGGCGGGUUUUGAAUGUCACCAGAGUAGGAGAUAUCUAGCUUUAUAUUUCUGUUAUCCAUGUAAAAACUGUUAAAAUUUACACAAAAUAUCUUAUAGGAUUUACAAAUGUACCAUGAAAAGGUAUUCUAGAUUUUAUAAAUACUCCUAAAAGCAUGGCGUUGCCACUAACUUAGAGCAAAUGCAAUAAUGGUUGAGUAGCUUAAGAAGUUCCCCAUCAAGAGCUGCUUAUGUUUUGGCAGAUACACUGGAUGCAAUUUACCCAAUGUGAAUGGUCGACAGUGUGGACAUCUGCACGUGAGCUAGUUGCCUUAGAUUCUUUUCAAAAUCAAUGGAAAAACUGGCAUUUUAGAUGGUGCUUCGUAUGAACUGUGUGAGAUAUUCAUAUUAGAUAUGAAAUAUCUGCAUUUGGCCAGCUGAAUCCCACCCACAGGCUGCACGGCUGCUCCUUGUACAUAGAUAAAUGCAGGCUACAACAAGCUACGUUUAGUUGCCUUGUGUGUGAACCUCUAAAACCACAUGGGCUCAACUGCAAACCUAUUAUGGACUAAAACUUCAUUUCCUGAUUAUUAAAAGUCAUUCCAGUUUAGAGUGAUUUGGUGCCACUAGUGACUGACACUGGGACACUUUUCCAGCCUCUGGCAGUUAAGAUAGUUUAUGUUGUUACAGAAUUAAUUACCCUGUUUUAAAACAGUAUUCUUUUAAGACAAGCGUGUAUUAGGAAUGCUGGCCAGAAACCCAAUGAGGUGAGAAAUCAGUUAAUAAUUUUUUAUAGUUACUAAUUUUUACACAGCAUCUUGUGCUGCAUUUUAAAGUUCAGUAGUCAUCAAGUAGCCUUCUCAAUAACCUGUAAAGAGAUUGUGUAAUUAUAUUUAUUUGUGACCUUCCAUAGUUCGACCUGGCUAAUUGCUUCUUUUAGCUGAAGUACGCACUUCUUUCUGGUUCUUCUUCAUGAAAGUAAGAAUUAAAACAUUACUAAAGAAUCGAGUAAGGAUGAAGCUAAAAUCCACAAGGAAGCAUAGCUGGAGCUAAACUUCUAUAUGCUAAGGUGGAGCUAAACCUAUAUAUGCUGUUGUCUUCUUAUAUUGUAUGCGUUUCCUCAUUCAAAUAGUUUUUCAUAUCACCUUAAAAAAAGGGGGAGAGAGGGGAAGUGUUCUGUUUAAUUUUCGUGCUUGAUACAUUUUUAAAUGUAAUGAAGUUACAAAAUGAGCCCGUUGUGAUUUAACCCCAGCGAGCAACUAAGCAUCACACAGCUGCUCACCCCCUACCCAGUGGGAUGGGGGGAGAAUGAGAAGGGUGAAAGGGAGAAAACUUCUGGUUUGAGAUAACGAUAAUUUAACAAGUAAAGCAAAAGCCACCCUCACAAGCAAAGCAAAACAAGGGAUUAAUUCACUCCUUCCCAUGGGCAGGCAGGUGUUCAGCCAUCUCCAGGACAGCCGGGCUCCAUUGUGUCUAAUGGUUACUUGGGAAGACAGACACCAUCUCACAGAACAUCCUCCCCUUCCUCCUUCUUCCCUCAGCUUUAUAUGCUGAGUAUGACAUCGUAUGGUAUCGAAUAUCCCUUUGGUUAGUUGGGGUCAGCUGUCCCUGCUGUGUCCUCUCCCAACUUCUUGUGCACCCCAGCCCACUCGCUGAUGGGUUGGUGUGAGAAGCAGAAGAGGCCUUGACUCUGUGUAAGGCUGCUCAGCAGUAACUGAAACAUCCCUGUGUUAUCAACCAUUUUAAUCACAAAUCCAAAACGUAGCCCUGUACAAGCUCCUAUGAAGAAAUUUAACUCUAUCCCAGCCAAAACCAGUAUAGAGCCUUAACACUUCACAUCCUUUCACAGUGGAGAAAUGCAUGUAUGAUUAGGUACUUGUGCAUAAGCAGAUGUAAGAUUGGGGUUUCCAUAACUACAGGUUACAAAAUAAGAACAAAGUUUGUUUUAAAAAAUGGUUGCAAAAGCACAGUAGAAUAAUAUUCUACAGUUUUCUAAAGAUGGGGAAGGUGAUCCUGUGCUGUUUCUCCUGUUCACCUUUGUCGUUUGUAUUCUGGGUUUCUGUUUUGAUGAGGUACCAAAAAAGUCCUCCUCCUACUGAGACAGUCCUUGGGACCUUUCUGCAUCCUGCAAGCAGCCUCCAGCACCACUGUUCUGUGCAGUGCUGGCUGAUGUGGGCGCACUCCCUUUGCCAUGAUGUGCAAGUGGCUCCAAAGCGUGUGUCCACACAAAAGAGGGAGCAAUGUCCCAUCCCCAGGCUCAGUGGUGGGUGCUGGCUCAGCCCCAGCUGCUCAGGGCCCUUACAGACUGCUCUGCCCUCGCCAUGUAGCCCUGUACCCUGCAUCUCAUAAGUGCAUCUUGUGGUGUCCCCCCUCUGCACUUCCAAGAGUGCUGAGCCUGUUAGGAAUAGUGUUGAAAGACUAACAUGGGUCUGAGGGAGACAAAUACAAUGUUUGUGGCUUUACUGCCAUUUGGGGGGAAUCUCAAGAGUGAGCUAGUCAAGAUCUGUGCCUUAUCUUGAAUGCGUGAUUUGUACCUAAACAGGCCCCCAUGGAGAGAGCUAACAAUGAAGCAGCGGUGACGACUGGGUGCUCAGGCUUGUUCCCUUGACCUCAGUGUAGGACAUAGUGUAGACACGACUUAAGUUCCCAGUUUUAGUCCUGUGGUGGGAUGGACACAAUGUAAGCACAUAAUCAUACAGAUGAUUUGAGUACUUAUAUUAAUCAUAGGCAGACUUUGAAAACGCAAGUGAUUGUUACCACGUAUCAGAAGCACCUCAGCAUUUCAUACAAACUCCUAUAAUAAAGCCGCUUACAUUCCUAGUUAGUAGCUCUACCUGUGACUCAGAAGAGCUUUGGCUGGCUCUUAGAUCUAAAAAUAAAAUUCUCCUUCCUGAGAUACCAUACAUUUCGAUGAUAUUCUCAGUGGGAAUGGCAUGCAAAAGUAGAAUAGAUUAUAUUAAUUGUUGUGUAGAAGCUUUCCACCCCUUGCAUAGGAAAGCUUCAUUGCACCAUAUGGAAUCAAAGUAUAAUGUGAUAAAAUUACUAAUACAGGACAAUAAAUAACAUUAUGAUUAUGUGUUAUGGGUGCCACCUCAUACGUGCACAAAUAAUUAUAGUUCAAAUGAAUAAUGGAGAUUUGAGUGUUAUAUCUAGGAAUGUAUUAGAAAGGACACAAUUUGUCACCAAGGAUGGGAAUUGUCUCAUCUGACUUUACGGAUUCAAUAAGGGGGUGUCCAAACCAAACCAGUCAUCUGUGACUGUAUCUGUGAUCAGUGGAGAGGAACAGGCACUUCAGAAGAUAAAUGGCCGCUCUGGUCUUAGACAAAUAUUUUCAGAGGAAUGCAUCUCAGAAGCUCAAACAAACAGCAAGUCUUCAACAGCAUCUUCCAGGGGGACCAAAAAAGGCAGACAUGUGGCGCGAAGUCUUCAUCCCACUGACAUCAGUGGCAAAAUUCCCAUUGAUCUGAAUAAGGCUGAAAUUGCGUCCUAGCUUUUCUAGCUGCUGCCUGCCAAAAUCGACUUCAGACCUGCGCAUCCUUCCUCUCUUGUGCGUCACCAUUAGUAACAGAGGUUCUGCGGUCCACGCCGUGUCUGCCAUGACGUUCUCGAGAAGCGAUCAAGACAAAUGUAAAUGAGGAAUGAGAGACCCCGGCAACAGGAGGGGUCUCUGCGCAGGGAGCGCACGGUGUGUGGUUAACAGUCCCCGCACAGUUGCUGCAGACAGAUCCCUCUGCCUGUUGUGCACGCACGCUGCUGACGGAAGCAGCCGUAUGAAGAGCUCUUUGAAUCGGCUCGUCGUGACGUGGACGUGUCCCAUCCUCGCUCACCAGCGUCCCGGGCGGCAGGUGUGCUGCCAGCACCACCGCAAAGGCUGGGUCAGGUCUCUGCUGUCACGUCUGGCCUUUUCCAAUUGAAGUACAGUCUAACUGAGAAAAUCUGGAGUUCUCUUCCAGCUUCACUUUUUGCCUCAUUGAGACUGUGGAUUUGGGCACGCAGCACCAAAUGCAUCCAAAGCAAGCGUUGUCUUAAGGAAUUAGAGUCUCAAAAAACGAUUGAUAAGUCUUUCUAAUAUAAUGUCUGUGGAGUGUGUGCUAUCAUCAGAAGCCAUACAACAGAAAUACAAGCGCUUUGAAAUACAGAUUAAAACAAGGAACAUGAAGGGAGAAAAUGCCUGUGUAUGAGGUACAAAUGUCUUCUUCUGCUAUUGAUGAUGUCUGAACAUGGUCCUGGUGAGGAAAAGGAUUUGUUCAUUCUCACUCCCUGCAUUGUCUAUUUGUCCCUUGCUGGCAGGGUCUUCUCAAGCUUGAGGGAGGUGCGGCCAGCUGGUCUUAGUAUGUUCUUGAUGUUUUUCUAGCAAAAUGCUCCCUGAAUCCUCUGGCUAUUAUGCUAGACUGAGAACAAAAGGCUCUUGCUCAUCUGGCAUUUAUCUGCAGACUUUCCUCUUCCAUAGGUAUUUCAGGUUAUGGAUAAGCUAGAGGAAAGAAGAGAGUUUUUCAUGCCACCAGUUUCAAUUUGAAGCUAAAGAACACCAAAGAGCCAAGGUCUGAGAGUAACUCCUAGGCUCACAGAAACAUUCUCAUGUCUUUUUGGCUGAAUUAGAUAUUGGUCUUUCUAUUACAUCUUCUAUUGUGAGCUGCUUGCAAAUCUUUAUAUCUGAUCAUUCUCUCAUCAUGUUGGAAAACAAUAAGUGGGAGUUUCUUUCCAUACUAGAUCUUUGUGGGUUACUUGCUAGUAAACUAAUUUUACAUGACUCAGAUUUAAAUAAUAAAAAGGCUUAACUCCA